rnacentral:misc_RNA from 1 species
ACACCCCUCAAGCCUGGCUUGUUGUUGGACCACGCCGGGAGACCGGCCGGCCCCAAAAGUAAUGACGGCGUCCGCGGGGACCCUCAGUGCAAUGAGCCCUAUCUUUAGAGCACGCACCGAGUUGCAAGGUCUCCACGGCACGGUCGACACCUUUAUUUCUUAUAA